CUGCGCCAUCCCUGCUAAGUGUUCAGUGCAGUGAGGGAAGGAGGAUAUAUUUGUACACACUCCCCAUCAAGCAUCGUGACAGUACACUGCUACUACUACAAAGACCCACCUUUGGAAUGAAGACGAGGGCCAUGGAAAGGAAGCAGCAGAAGAUGAUGGCGAAGGAGACAAAGGCAAAAGAGGCGUCCUGCUGUGCUGAGAUGACGAGGGUGACUGGCGCGGUGAUGAGGCAGAGCACCACCACGUUGUAGAUGCUCAUCCCGACCUGGUGGUGAUGACGGGUGGUCACGUGACACCAUUGACCAGCACUCACCAGCCUGGAGUCAUUGAUCUGCUUCAGCUUAAUGCUCCUCGUCUCAUAGGCCAGGAACAGACCAAAGAUGAGCAGCAGCCCCUUGUAGCCGUAGAGCAGACCUGAGGCAGAGGCAGCGGCAUCACCAUCGUUGUUGUUGUAAG